rnacentral:lncRNA from 1 species
GGAAGGAGGAAGUGUGAGGAGGCUGGAAAGGACCCUGUGCUUAGCCAAAAUACCUGGAGAGCCGGAGAAAAUGGCGGGAUGUGAGAGGGGGAAAGGAUGGGGUCACACAAAGAAAAAGAGUUAGACUUGACCUCUUUUCCACUCCAGGAAUGAGAUGUAAGCCAGGAGGCAAGCCUGAGGCCGAGAAGCCCCCAGGGAUGGCAGAGUCUCCUGCAGGACUGGAUGUGGCCAGGGCUGAGGUCAAGGCCCCGAGGGCAGCCAUGGGCAAGGUGGAUGGAAAUGAGACCAAGAGAAAAAAAUAAGUGGCUUCAUAACUUCACUUUAUCCAGAGAGUGGAAAAUAAAAUGCAAGAUUCCAAUCCCUGCCCUUCCAUUUCAUCUUUGAAAAAUACAGGAAGAGGUGGGCUGUUUUGGCUCCCUACCAUGGAUAAGGAUCUUGAAGGAGGAACUUGGCAGACCUUCUCCAUUCCCUGGGGCUUCGGCAAGGCAGUAGAGGAGGAAGGAGCACACGUAUGCCAGUGAGUAAGAGUCCUCAAGUGCAAAUAGCAGGGGACUUAUC